CGGCGGACGGGUGAGUAACGCGUGGGUAACCUGCUUCAUACAGGGGGAUAACAGUUGGAAACGGCUGCUAAUACCGCAUAAGCGCACAGUACCGCAUGGUACGGUGUGAAAAACUCCGGUGGUAUGAGAUGGACCCGCGUCUGAUUAGGUAGUUGGUGGGGUAACGGCCUACCAAGCCGACGAUCAGUAGCCGACCUGAGAGGGUGACCGGCCACAUUGGGACUGAGACACGGCCCAA
rnacentral:rRNA from 1 species